rnacentral:rRNA from 1 species
UACAGGGGGUGCAAACGUUGCUCGGAAUCAUUGGGCGUAAAGCGCACGUAGGCGGUUCGUUAUGUCGGAUGUGAAAGCCCUUGGCUUAACCGAGGAAGUGCAUCCGAAACUGGCGAGCUAGAGUACGAAAGAGGAUCGCGGAAUUCCCGGUGUAGAGGUGAAAUUCGUAGAUAUCGGGAGGAACACCGGUGGCGAAGGCGGCGAUCUGGUCCAUUACUGACGCUGAGGCGCGACAGCGUGGGGAGCAAACAGG